GCAAACCCCCCACCCCAAUGUGGGGCUGGAUCUCAGGACCCCAGGAUCAUGACCUGAGCCAAAGGAAGAUGCUUAAUCAAGUCACCCAGGCACCCCCUCCCUUUUUUAAAAAAAGAUUUUAGGAAAAGGGCAUUCCCAGUGCAGGGAACAGCAUGAGUGGACAAAUGGAGGUACGAAGAGGAGGUGUGUUUGCGGAGCAGCAGGUGUGACCAGUGUUCCUGCUGGGGGGUGGAGCGGUGCGAGGGGCGAAGUAGUCAGAGCUGGACUGGUUGGUGACAGCAGCCCGGUGACCAGGGGUGAUGAGCCACAGGAGUCUGCUUCAGUUCUGUGAGCUUUAUCCUCUCAGUGGAGAACCCCUGAAAGUCAUAAAAGGGAGCGUGGUGAUCAGAUUCGCAUCGCGGGAAGUUCAUUCCAACCGCCCUCCAAGGUUCCAGGACAAUCAGCCUGGAAGACUUCUGCAAAGUUCCCAGUGAGCAGAAACAAAUGAAUUGUGGGUCAUAUUAUGCAAGAAUUGGAAGUUUGAAUGUGAAAGCCAUUUUCAAAAACAUUACAAAUAUGCAUAUUUAUGGCAUUCUUCUUAUUUAAACAGUAGCAAUGAAAGUCUCUAAAAAUGGAUGAUCCUCUGGUUCAUGAAGCCUCGAGUUUAUAUGGCCCAGGAUAUUCGAGAAGUGGUGGAAACCGGCAUGCUAUGGUGCAGCAGGCCACAAGGAUGGUGGGACUCUCUAGAAGAGGUUCAAACAGCCUACUUCUAAAAUGAAUCCAGAAUCGUCUUCAAGCGUAAAGGAGGUAACAUGCAGAAACCAAAAAGGCUGCCGCCAGGAUAUUUCACUCCAAAGACCACUGACUCACCUAGUAGUCAGGACGGGGCAUGCUUCUGUGGUUUGCGUAGGGAUUCUGUGGCUGACCGGAGAUAUUGGCCCUGACUUUAGGGAAGAUGCUCCCAUCUGCUCCUAGAUUGCUGAAGCCUGUCGUCUGCUGUAGUCUCAGAUUCUGAAAGUCGUUCUCAAUCAAGUUCUGUUCUUCAAUAUACUUGUCUUUGUUCUUUGACCUAUAAAUGGUAAGGAGAUUUAGGAUCAGACGAUGGCAGAAAGUUCCUCGAAGCAAACGUUGAUAUUCUUUUCUUAAAAAUGUUUAAAAAAAAAUGUUUUCAAAAAAUAAAUAAAAAUAAAAAAAUAAAAAUGUU